GGCUGGGCAUUAAGGGUGCGGACGCCAACAGCCUCGCUUGGGGAUUGGAAACCCAAAUCUCCCUCCUCCCUUUCCUCUUGCCCUCCUUUCAGCCCUCCCUGCCCUUUAUCCAGAUUUUCUUGCAAUCCUGUCGUAACUGCAUUUUCUACGUUCUCGUUUCUUUCUAUAUUUCUUUUGCAAUCGCAUUCCGCCCCCCCCCCCCCGCCCAAUUUACCUUCUUUGUAAAUUUUUUUGGUGCCGACUUUCUAUGUCCAGAUUUAUCAGUUCGUUUUCAAAACAAUGUUUAAAAUGCAAUUAAUCUACCAGCAGGAGGUCAGGGACACCCUGACUAAAAUAACUCCUGGGUCUUAAGAGACAAGUUCGCCAGGUGUCAGGAAAAACUAAAAUAAUAAUGAAAAUAAAUGAGUAUCUCAGUGACUACAACAGCUUAUUACUCUCUAUUAUUAUAUCAGCUCUCACGGAUUUUUUCUUUUUAAAAAAAAAGAUAUAAUCGUUCUGGAAAAAUACGAAAGUAUUUGACAAGGAGAAUCAGUAUAAUUAAGGCAAUAUGCAAAUUGUUCGUACUUAUAAAUAAAUUAUUUUAAUCAUGCUUAUCAGACUUUAGAAAUUAUAGUAGGUAAAUUCAAGAAACAAGCUGGUUUUUCUUUUCAUGAUUAUUAGAAAGUGUAAAAAAAAAAGAUCCCUAAGCUGUCUGUCUGCCCCUUAACAUAGACUGAUCAACUCAGGGGGAAGCAGCCUGCUCUGCGGUCUGUUUAAGGGCUAAGCAGACCCACAGCUUGGGUGUGUGGCUUGCUCUCCUGGCCAGGUUGCUGUCCAUUUCCUAGCAGGUUGAAAAUACAAGGAACCUGUGGAAUUGGCUUAGGGGUCUGUAGUGACCCUCGCCGUUCUGUUUUGCACGUGCCUAUGAGAUUAGAAACAGCUUGCACCUACAAAUUGUGUGAUUUGUUUUAUAUUCUCCUGAGGUCUUCUUUCACCAUAAUUUGCCAAAAGUUCAGAAUUAUAAAUUUCGGACUGGAGGCUGAUGAGAUGCUUGAAAGGCCUGAAAGCUUAGACUCAACCCUCAGGACCCACGGGUGGCAGGUAGGAGCUGACUCCUCCUCCGCAUCAUCCUCUGACCUCCAGGUGUGCAUCGUGACAUGUGCAUCGUGACGUGUGCAGCCACAACAGAAGCACAAUAGCAUAAUUUAAUAAAUAAGUGUAAUAAAAUGAUUUUAAACGUU